CUCUCCUGUCUUCUCAUUUUCUCGCUUACUCUCUCCAUCAACUCAACCUCUACACACUCACCACCCACCAAUGCACCCCACCUCCCCCCGCACAAUAACAUAUUCAUCUCAUUUCAGUCCCUCACCCUCUCAUCUCCUCCCCUGCUCUGUCUAAUGCCCCCCUCUCUCCUUCUCCAAUUCUUUAUUUUUUUUCAAUAAAUCCUGCCACCAGCUCUGGUCUCUACCAUGCCAGAGGAUAAAGACCACUUUGUUUUAAUUUUUGGCGGGGAUACAGCAGUUGACAAAAAAAACGCCCCUGCUCCCCGGGGGUAAGGGGGGGACGCUGUGGAACAAAGGGUGUCCCCUGCUGGAAGGAGCGAAUUGGAUGAAAUCAAGGACAAGAUGCUCAGGACCAACGAUCAUACAGGAUGAUACGACGCGACGUACUGUCUGGGCCAAGUACUUCAAGUGCUGGCAGCUCCACAUCCAAAACCCCAUCAGCACACCUGGUCUACCUUGAUGUUUGUAUAUUUCUGCAAUAAGGGCAUCAAUGUUGUAAUGCUUGAAAAAUAACCUUGUUAAGUUACCUGUAUUCUAUGUUCUCAUGAAUAGUUUUUUUUUGAAGUAAAACUCUUGAAAGUAGAUCAUAUAUGUGGCUAUAACCCAGACAGAGGCCGGAAGUUGUAUCGUGCACCUGACAAUGCUCUGAUGAUGCUGAUGCCUCCAUCGUGUCUGCAGCACUAAAUGAGGCAACAGAGUCCUCCUUUGAGGUGAGGGCUGAGGACACAUUCGUCCAGGUUAUGCUGGUCCAUCAUAGGGCAAACCACCCGGUCUUCCUCACGACAGCAAAAGAUACAUCUUAUGAUGUCGGAAAGAUUCGAGAGUGUAACCCUAACCCUAACCCUAACCCGGAGAGGUACCGUCAUACCUUAUAUUCCUACAUAGCUUCUCUGACUGUGAUACCGUAUCAGCAAUUUCUGGGUUUAACAAACCACCUUUGCUCAGCAAGCUCUGCAAGACUGACAAAUCAGAGCGGGCCAUGGAUGUGUUCAGUGUCAUCAGAGCCAAGAAAGUGACAUCAUCAAUGCUGGCUAUGAGGCACUUUCAGAUGCUGCUGUAAAAAGCAAGGAGUCAAAUGUAUUUAUUCUUGUGGGAUCUGUCAUGGUAACAGAACAUCAACCAGCCAGAUGAUAAUAGUAGUGAGGUAGAUGCAGGGGAGUUGGAUGAGGUUUGUUAAAACUACAACUGAUAACGCAAGUUUUGAUUUGUAAUUGUUCAAUAAAUAAUUUUUU
ensembl:lncRNA